rnacentral:rRNA from 1 species
UACGGGGGGGGCAAGCGUUGUUCGGAAUUACUGGGCGUAAAGGGCUCGUAGGCGGCCAACUAAGUCGGAUGUGAAAUCCCCAGGCUCAACUUGGGAACUGCAUCCGAUACUGAUUGGCUUGAAUCCGGGAGAGGGAUGCAGAAUUCCAGGUGUAGCGGUGAAAUGCGUAGAUAUCUGGAGGAAUACCGGUGGCGAAGGCGGCAUCCUGGACCGGCAUUGACGCUGAUGAGCGAAAGCCAGGGGAGCAAACGGG